UACGUAGGGGGCAAGCGUUGUCCGGAUUUAUUGGGCGUAAAGAGCGCGUAGGCGGCUCGUUAAGUGUGAAGUGAAAUCUCCAGGGCUCAACCCGGAAACUGCUUUACAUACUGGCGAGCUGGAGUGAUGCAGAGGUUUGUGGAAUUCCUGGUGUAACGGUGAAAUGUGUUGAUAUCAGGAGGAACACCCAUGGCGAAGGCAGCAAACUGGGCAUCAACUGACGCUGAGGCGCGAAAGCGUGGGUAGCAAACAGG
rnacentral:rRNA from 1 species